rnacentral:rRNA from 1 species
CUACGGGACGCAGCAGUUAGGAAUAAUCUGCAAUGCGCGCAAGCGUGACAGUUUGAGCCAGAGUGCUUCUCAUUGAGAAGCUUUUGCCAAAUGUAAAAAGUUUGGCGAAUAAGGACUGGGUAAGACGAGUGCCAGCCGCCGCGGUAAUACUCGCGGUCCAAGCGCAGCCAUAAUUAUUGGGUCUAAAACAUCCGUAGCUUGCUUGGUAAGUUUCCUGUGAAAUCUUGUUUCUUAAGGGCAAGGCGAGCGGGAAGUACUGCUUAGCUAGAGGCCGGAAGACGUAGGAAGUACGUUCAAAGUAGCGGUAAAAUGUGUUAAUCUUGAACGGACUCACAACAGCGAAGGCAUCCUACGAGGACGGUUCUGACAGUAAGGGAUGAAGGCCAGGGGCGCAAAACGGAUUAGAUACCCCAGUAGUC